CAACAACAGCACCAACAACAGCAGGAACACCAACAGCAGCAGCAACACCAACAGCAGCAGCAGCAACCGCAGAUCAUUUGCCCAUACGUUCCGAUUGCUGGACAUGCACCGUACAUACAUGGGUGCAUUUAUAACUGUUUGCCAAACGUAGGGGAAGCAAACAAUCAUGGUACAAUAGCGUUGGCGUACGAUAUAAACCCGUUGAAUUCGCCGCCGCCUUUUAAUUGUGCUCAAUUUUGGCCCAACAAUUAAGCUGAAUGUUUGCUUUUGAUGCUAAUGUAACGGUUUACUUCUUCGAUUCGGUCUUUCUCUCACAACUUUCUUCGUUAAAAUUUGAUCGAGAUAUUUGAAAGAAAAUAUCAAACAAUUUCAUUUAACAUGCGCCAUGAUUUGCGUUUUCAGUGUUGUUCUGUAAUUGAUUCUGAUUUUCUUCAGUUUUAUAUUUUUCUAUUAAUCAAUUAUUGGUACUUCUAUGAAUUCCUCACGUACUUCGCGAAUGCAACGAACAAGCUCAGUGUUUCUUUAGAAAUGUUAAUAA